CAAAAACAUAGCUAUAUGUCUUAAACAUUUAGUUGCUUCUGCUCAAUGGUAAGCUAAAUAGCCGCAGUACCCUGACUGUGCAAAGGUAGCAUAAUCAUUUGGCUUAUAAUUGAAGUCUGGCAUGAAUGAAAUUAUGGAUACUAACUGUCUCCUGUGGGUACAUAGAAUUUACUAAAUAGGUGAAAAUUCCUAUAGAUUACAAUAGACGAGAAGACCCUAGAAAUUUUAUAUAAAAGUAAUUAUUUAAUGCUUGUUAUUUUGUUGGGGCGACAGAAUAACAAUAUUUUAAACUUAUUUUAUUAUCUUGCACUCAUUUUUGUGGUAGAUUAAAUUACUCUAGGGAUAACAGCAUAAUUUAUAAAAGUUUGUGACCUCGAUGUUGGACUAGGAUUUUUAAUAAUCAGAAGUUAUUAAAAUAGGCUCUGUUCGAGCUUAGUUUCCUACGUGAUCU
rnacentral:rRNA from 1 species